GACGAACGCUGGCGGCGUGCUUAACACAUGCAAGUCGAACGGAAAGGCCCUGCUUUUGUGGGGUGCUCGAGUGGCGAAGGGGUGAGUAACACGUGAGUAACCUGCCCUUGUCUUUGGGAUAAAUUCAGGAAACUGGGGAUAAUACCGGAUAGGAGCUCCUGCUGCAUGGUGGGGGAUGGAAAGUUUCGGCGGUUGGGGAUGGACUCGCGGCUUAUCAGCUUGUUGGUGGGGUAGUGGCUUACCAAGGCUUUGACGGGUAGCCGGCCUGAGAGGGUGACCAGCCACAUUGGGACUGCGGUACGGCCCAGAAUGCUACGGGAGGCAGCAGCGGGGAAUAUUGCACAAUGGGCGGAAGCCUGAUGCAGCAACGCCGCGUGCGGGAUGACGGCCUUCGGGUUGUAAACCACUUUCGCCUGUGACGAAGCGGGAGUGACGGUAAUUGGUAAGGAAGCACCGGCUAACUACGUG
rnacentral:rRNA from 1 species